rnacentral:rRNA from 1 species
CAGUCGAUCGGAUUAUUAGAAGAACUUCGGUUUUAAUGAUUUUCAGAGGCGAACGGGUGAGUAACACGUAUCCAACCUACCUUAGAGACUGGGAUAACUGGGGGAAACUUCAGCUAAUACCGGAUAUAGCAAUUCUUCGCAUGAAGUUUUGUCGAAAGGCGCGUUUGCGUCACUUUAAGAUGGGGAUGCGGUGCAUUAGCUAGUUGGUGAGGUAACGGCUCACCAAGGCUACGAUGCAUAGCUGUACUGAGAGGUAGAACAGCCACAAUGGGACUGAGACACGGCCCAUACUCCUACGGGAGGCAGCAGUAGGGAAUUUUCCACAAUGGGCGAAAGCCUGAUGGAGCAAUACCGCGUGGAUGAUGAAGGUCCUCGGAUCGUAAAAUCCUUUUAUUUG